GGAUUAGCUUAGACCGUUGCCGCCGCUCGCGCCGUUCGCCGGAGCCGCCACCGCCGUUACUGUUCCGGCGAGGGACUGCCGCUGCCCAGCCCCUUUUCGUCGCGUGUUCGGCCCGUUUCAAGCUUAGGACAUCCGACCCCCAGCCUUGAGGAUGGCAGGCGUAUUGAAACGUUUUGGGAGGAGCCCCGGCUAGAUAUAGUGUUUGAUCGCCGAGCCACGUACCCGCUUUUGAUUUUUGAGUGUGGGCUGUAUAUGAAUAUUGUAUAUGUUUCCCGAUGUCAAAACAAGUGUAUAAUUAUCCGUGCUGGUUGUUGUAUGGCUAUCCUUGGUUAGGUGUAUUUUAAUGUACGGGUGGUUUUAAUUACUUCCG